GAUGAACGCUGGCGGCGUGCCUAAUACAUGCAAGUCGAACGAAACUUCUUUAUCACCGAGUGCUUGCACUCACCGAUAAAGAGUUGAGUGGCGAACGGGUGAGUAACACGUGGGCAACCUGCCCAAAAGAGGGGGAUAACACUUGGAAACAGGUGCUAAUACCGCAUAACCAUAGUUACCGCAUGGUAACUAUGUAAAAGGUGGCUAUACUACCGCUUUUGGAUGGGCCCGCGGCGCAUUAGCUAGUUGGUAGGGUAAAGGCUUACCAAGGCAAUGAUGCGUAGCCGAAUUGAGAGGUUGAUCGGCCACAUUGGGACUGAGACACGGCCCAAACUCCUACGGGAGGCAGCAGUAGGGAAUCUUCCACAAUGGGCGAAAGCUUGAUGGAGCAACGCCGCGUGGGUGAAGAAGGUCUUCGGAUCGUAAAACCCUGUUGUUAGAGAAGAAAGUGCGUGAGAGUAACUGUUCACGUUUCGACGGUAUCUAACCAGAAAGCCACGGCUAACUACGUG
rnacentral:rRNA from 1 species